rfam:Oryza punctata chromosome 9, whole genome shotgun sequence.
UUUAAACGUAGUCAUGAAUUUUCAUAUCUAACUUUGAUCGUUCGUAUUAUUUGAAUUUUUUUUAUGAUUAGUUUUUUUAUUUAUUAUUAGAUGAUAAAACAUGAAUAAUACUUUAUGUGUGAUUUAUCUUUUUUUAUUUAUUUUCAAAAAUUUUCAAAUAAGAUGGAUGAUUCAAGUUAAACAUGGAAACUCAUGGAUGUUAAAACC